AGGUGAGAGAAAUCUGCAUGGAACUUUCCCCACGCAAGCCACUCUCCUGGCAAAGCAAAGCUCUCAUGGCAUUACAGGAGGCAGCUGAGGCCUACUUGGUCCGUCUAUUCCAAGAUGCCACCCUGUGCACUAUCCACGCCAAGAGGGUCACUCUACAAGUCGCUGAUAUUCAGCUUGCACAGCGGAUUAGAGGGAUCCAAGACGGGCUGUGAUAAACUGAAACACUUUUUUAUGACCUUGAAGAUUUACAGGUUCCCCACGUUUUACAGUUGUUAUUAAACAAGUUGAUCUGCUUAGUUGCUUUUAAUACCCAGAUUUUACAGUGUGGGAGGAGGUAAUUUGUUGUGUACUCAUGUUACAGCAUGUGAUGUUUCUGACCUACGUGGUUCUUUGUCACUCUGACAUUAACAAUCUCCAUGAUUCUUUUAUGCUUUAUAUGCAAAUAGUUGUAUUUGUAUAGUUGACAAUAUGCAAAUAGUAUGCAAAUAAUUGUAUUUGUAUAGUUGACCACAUGCAAAUCGUAUGCAAAUAGUUGUAUUUGUAUAGUUGACAAUAUGCAAAUAGUAUGCAAAUAGUUGUGUUUGUAUAGUUGACCAUAUGCAAAUAGUUGUAUUUGUAUAGUUGACAAUAAAACUGAUUUAGUCUUUCAAAAAA